GCUUUGGUGGAUUCUGCAGUAAUAACUGCGAAGAAAAGGUACACUUUUCAACUUUACAUUUCAUGGCCGAACCGUUUACCUUCGUGCAAUUUUUAUUUUUAAAGCCCAUGCAAGGAAGGUUUGAAAAAUCCUUGGAAGAUCUUUGUUGCCAAAUACUAUUCAAUUGUAAGAAAUUCCCUUGACGAAAUAAUUCAGUUUGUUUAUGGUGACGUCUUAAAGGUACCUACCAAUCUCUGUAACCAAACAUGCAAAGCAACUCGUGGGCUUCAUGGUUGCCAACUGUUAGAAAGCUGUCAUGAUCAUCGGUGACACAAUAUCGCCCAGAUAUUACCUUAUUAUAGAGUGAUAAUAUCGGCGAAGUGAUGGCAACCCACAGGAUUCAAGGAACGUCAAAUUCUUCUAACAAUAUCCUGGAUGUCUUAAGCACCUUGGAAAUCAAAAUUGCAAGGCUACGAUUAUCAAGGAAUUCUGUAUACAAUGGAAAAUCAUUGCAUAGGCGGUCGUCGCCUUGUUGUCGGAAUUGAGUUGUUAUAUUGAAAUUUUUCGCGCCUGAAAAAAAGGGGUUGACAAAUAUGAAAGAUGUCCGUUUUCAUUUUGGUGCGUUAAAGACUUGAAAAAGAAGUUCGUUGCCGAAAUUCUACGGGAAUAAACCAAAUGAUGCAUUUAUGUAUUAUGCUAAUAAAAAUAGUGGAUUCAAAAAGGUUUCUGGCUGGGACAAUGCACCGAAAAAUCGUAAUGAUUGGAAACACGAAACCGAAUUUCACUCUACAGUCUCAUUCCUGUGUUUUACGGUAUUAAUAACUUAAAAAAUUGAAGUGCAUAUCUGGGCUCCCUUCCUUUCCGUAGCCCCGUUUCCCCUUGACUCAUAAUAAGCCCGUAGGGGGUCAUGCCCCUACUGUACGGUAUAUUUAAAAACAACAUAUACCGAGGUUUGGAGGGCUCUGGCCGGAAAGGGGACGUGGGGUGUCCGCUUAGUCCGAUGAUGUGUUCACGGAGGGCUCUGUGGCUACCCACAAAUCCGAAUUAAAGGUUAAUCGCUCCUGUAAAAAUGUUCCAAAUCUUCAGCUCUUCUUCCGGCUUCUCUUAGCCAAGCACCGGGUAAUCUCCCCGGUGGGUCAACUAAGGCAGUGUCUCCCCCUGCCUUGGUUGGCGGCAACUUUUGAAAGGGUUAUUUUGCCUUUCAAAAGUUGCAAAAAUAAUUAUAUUGU